rnacentral:rRNA from 1 species
GACGAACGCUGGCGGCGUGCUUAACACAUGCAAGUCGAACGGAAAGGCCCCUUUGGGGGUACUCGAGUGGCGAACGGGUGAGUAACACGUGAGUAACCUGCCCUUGACUUCCGGAUAACUUCAGGAAACUGGGGCUAAUACCGGCUAGGAAUCAUUGCUGCAUGGCGGGGGUUGGAAAGCUUCGGCGGGUUUGGAUGGACUCGCGGCUUAUCUGCUUGCUGGUGGGGUAGUGGCUUACCAAGGCUUUGACGGGUAGCCGGCCGGGGAGGGCGACCGGCCACAAUGGGACUGAGAUACGGCCCAGACUCCUACGGGAGGCAGCAGUGGGGAAUAUUGCACAAUGGGCGGAAGCCUGAUGCAGCAACGCCGCGUGCGGGAUGACGGCCUUCGGGUUGUAAACCGCUUUCAGCAGGGGCGAAGCUUGUGGUGACGGUACCUGCAGAAGAAGCACCGGCUAACUACGUG